CCCGUUGAAGAUAUAAGAAAUCCAUCCAGACGCAUGUAGAUGUCCUAUUACCUAUCCCAAAAUUAAAAUAAAUCCUGAAUACAUCAAGUAAAAUUAAAUAAAAGUUAGAAAGUAACAAAAUACUUCGCAAGAUAAUGAAAAUAACGAAGUGAAACAUUACUUCUUUAAACGACUGCGUUUCAAGUAAAAGUACUCCAAUGAAAGUUUACUUUGUCACAUGCCGACUUCUCAAAAAUAGAACUCAAGUACAGUAAUGAGGUACAUUUACUUCGUUUUAUUAUGGUAUUUAAUUAGAUUAAAUUCGAUUUUGUUAACAAAUCAAAGUUUGGUUUCAAAGUUUGUUUUCCACGUUUUACCCUCUUUUUCGCGUUUUACCCUCUUUUCCGCGUUUUACCCUCUUUUCCGCGUUUUACCCACUUUUCCGCGUUUUACCCUCUAUUCCGUCACUUACAUAGUCUUAGAGUUUGAUUCAGUAUUAUAUUUCACAAAGUACUUCAUUACAGUAAAGUAAUUUCAUUACAGUAUUAGCUAAUGUCACAAUUAAAGCUAUUUAUCAAAUUUAUCAUGCAGACUGCAUUCUCUAAAUGUCCUAAAUGUCAAACAUAUACAAUAUUCGUAUUUGUAACAUACACGCACAAACGAGUCUUUGACUUACCUUUGAGUAGGCUAUUGUCGGAUUAUUUUACCGUAGGUUUGAUAACAGGGAGGUAUACUUGGACAUAUUUCUUGAGCAUCAAGUUUCAACAGAUUCUGGUUUUUCGUAUCUUUGAGGAUGGUUCUGAAGUUUCAGCAGUCCGAGUAGCAUUGUUUACAAGCAACAUUGUUUGCGAUAUUUCAGAAAUCAAAAGAUCUCUAUAUUUCGUUACACAUCUCAGUAUUAAAGGCUUAUGACUCGAAAAUUAACGGUGUUGUUUUUUGGUCAAAUUUGAAAGAUCAUUGGAAACUGUAGAGUAACUUCUUUGACAGAUUUUUGUUUUCUUUCUUCGUUUUGGAGAUAUUUCAUUUUGUAUGAUAUGCAAAGGACCAACUUCGUACGUCACAUAUGCAUAAUGAUUUAGGC